rfam:Cedecea davisae DSM 4568 genomic scaffold Scaffold0, whole genome shotgun sequence.
AUCAACGCAGACCGGAACCUCCUGAGAAAGCGUAAUUGAGGGGCGUUGAUGUCGGGGGAAACCCUCCUGCCAGAGCGGGAUAGAGCGAAAGACAAAGACCGGGAAUAAAACUAAAGCGCCCUUGUGGCGCUUUAGUUUU